rnacentral:lncRNA from 1 species
AUUCGAUCCAGGGGCUGGUCAUCAAGAUGGAGCAGGGUAUAGAGAAGCCAUUAGGGAUGAUACAGAACACCACCAAAGGGUUAGUAACGGUGGGGAACUGUUUGCACCCCGAAGCCUGAAAGAGUGAAGUAGGGUGGGAUUACCUGGAAAGAGAGAGAGAGACAGAAGGAGAAUGAGAUUGAGGGAAGGGCUGCCUGGCAGGGGAAGCUGACGCCUUCAGGCAAGUGAAGAAGCCAGCCCGCAGCAACUCUGCAGGGAAGAAUAUAGGGAAAUAAACGCCUUCAUCUCUCUCUUGUCCCACCCGCAGAGCUCCUUCUGGGAUUCUCUAUUGGCUGAACUCAGCCAGAAGCUGCCAAGGGAGACCCCCACAACUGGAUGCAGCCCACUGAAGUCAGCUUCCUGGGGUGCGUAGCUGAAGGUAGCAGGGAGCAAAAAGAAUCUGAAGGGGAAGUGAACAAUGUAGAGCGUAUCUGUGCUGAAGACGUAAGGAGAGAGUGGAGGUCAGAAGCUGGCAUGGUCCCUGGUGCAUGUAUCAGCCGCUAAAGCUGGAGUGGAUGAAUCAGAACUUUCCCCAUGGGAGCAUUUAUAAAAAGGGGACACCCAGCGCAGAAGAUGUUUUCCAGGGAGAUCUCGGGGAGCCCAACAAGCCAAGAAGAGCAGAGCAAAGCAUUCCAAGGAAGGACUCUAAGUCUGCAACCGAGCACACACGAGCACAAGGAAAGACCAUGUGAAUACACAGCAAGAACGUGGUGCUCUGCAAGUCAGAAACAGACCCGUCAUCAGACACCAAAUCAGCCAGCACCUUGAUCUAGGAUUUCUGGCCUCCAAAACAGUGAGAAAAUAAAAUUCUGUUGUUUAAGCCAUGCAGCCUGUUGUAUUUCAUUAUGGCAGCCUGAGCAGAAUAAGACAGGUAUAUACAAAUGCAAAUUCUAUUAAGAAAUCUGUAUCUUUUACCCUAUUGAAGUAAGUUAUACCUCAAUUGAAGAAUAAAUAAAAGAGAAAGAAGGAGCAGCACAACC